rnacentral:rRNA from 1 species
AUUGAACGCUGGCAGCAUGCCUUACACAUGCAAGUCGAACGGUAACAGGUCUUCGGAUGCUGACGAGUGGCGAACGGGUGAGUAAUACAUCGGAACGUGCCCGAUCGUGGGGGAUAACGAAGCGAAAGCUUUGCUAAUACCGCAUAAGAUCUAAGGAUGAAAGCAGGGGACAGCAAGGCCUUGCGCGAACGGAGCGGCCGAAGGCAGAUUAGGUAGUUGGUGGGAUAAAAGCUUACCAAGCCGACGAUCUGUAGCUGGUCUGAGAGGACGACCAGCCACACUGGGACUGAGACACGGCCCAGACUCCUACGGGAGGCAGCAGUGGGGAAUUUUGGACAAUGGGCGAAAGCCUGAUCCAGCCAUGCCGCGUGCAGGAUGAAGGCCUUCGGGUUGUAAACUGCUUUUGUACGGAACGAAAAGACUCUGGUUAAUACCUGGGGUCCAUGACGGUACCGUAAGAAUAAGCACCGGCUAACUACGUGCCAGCCGCCGCCGUAA